rnacentral:rRNA from 1 species
UACAGAGGUCCCAAGCGUUGUUCGGAUUCACUGGGCGUAAAGGGUGCGCAGGUGGGUUUGCAAGUUUGAUGUGAAAGCCCCGGGCUUAACCCGGGAAUGGCAUUGAAUACUGCAGAUCUGGAGGAUUGGAGGGGGGACUGGAAUUCUUGGUGUAGCAGUGAAAUGCGUAGAUAUCAAGAGGAACACCAGUGGCGAAGGCGAGUCCCUGGACAAUACCUGACACUGAGGCACGAAAGCCAAGGGAGAAAACAGG